CUUGGAUAUAAAGACAAAGUGGAUGGAGUGUGUCCAUGCCUUGCAACAGGAUGCCUUACACAGAUGAGUAAAUCACAGUACACAAUAAAUUUUAUGGCUGAAGAAAUUAUUUCUGCGGAAAUCUCCCUCUAACAGGACCCAGCCUCUACAUAGGACAUGUCUGGGAAAGAGCAAGAGAACUGGCCAAAACUCAAGAUGAGUCAUAGACCUUCUGCUGCAACAUGGUAAAUGCCAUAUUUACUCACAUUUCAUUGGCCAAAGCAUGUCACAUGACCAAAACCAAAUCAAAUGAGGAAAGAGAGGGAGAGAGACCCAAAAGGGAGAAGAGUUGGCUCUCAGUAGCUUUCCAUUCGGCUGGAAAAGGAACAGCUCUGGUUGCUACAACUAUGGUUGCUCCUUCUUGCUAUUUAUGGAUGGUGUGGCUGUCACUGCAGUCCACUAGUGCCCCCUAUUGUCCCCUUCAGGAAACUCACAGGGCAGCAUGAACGGCUAAACCUGGGCAUUCCUAUCACUUGUGCUAACAUUAGCCUGAUGAGCAAGAGAGCUGGAACCUGGGACCCCGAGCCCGGAGACCCUUCUGCUUCCGCUGGAGGCUCAGAGAACUCUACAUCCUCCAACCACAUCACCUGCUGGAGGUAGUCCCAACUUUGUCUUUUUCAAAAUGACAAAAGGAUUUUGUGGACAGUGAAACUAUUCUGUAUGAUACUACAAUAGCAGCUACAUGCCAUGCUACAUUUGUCAAAACUCAUGGAAUGUGCACCACACCAAGAGUGAACCCUAAUGGAUACUACAGACUAUGAUGUAAUGAUGUAUCAAGUUUCCUCAUUUGAAGCAUGUGACAAUUAACUGCCUGACCAAUCUCACAGAGGUUAAAUAAGAACACGAGAAGCUUGGAGAAGUAUAAACAUAACUUUGAAGUUAACGGAAGGUACAUUAUUACCUACCUGGCUUACAUUUACUUAUCUUAUUUUUACCUGAAAAGAUUGGCAGCAGGUAAAAUUUGGUUUGCUCUGAAUCAAGUUGGGUUGGCUUUUCUGACCUGUGGGGUCAGGGAAGACUUUAAUUUCAUAGUGGAAUCUGCAGCUUUUUGUCUGUGCAAGAUCCAUUUAUCAUCCCUUUCUUCUGAGAAACAGCUUUCCCGCACCAUCAGCCCAGUAGUUUGGGCGGUGUGGACCCCUCAAUGCUCCAGAGGUGGACAUGUGAUGCUGGUCUGACCAAUCAGAGCA